rnacentral:rRNA from 1 species
UACGUAGGGUCCGAGCGUUGUCCGGAAUUAUUGGGCGUAAAGGGCUCGUAGGCGGUUCGUCACGUCGGGAGUGAAAAACUCCGGGGGCUUAAACCCCCGGAGCCUUGCUUCCGAAUACGGGCAGACGUAGAGGUGAGGCAGGGGAGAGCGGAACUCCUGGUGUAGCGGUGGAAUGCGCAGAUAUCAGGAAGAACACCGGUCGGCGGAAGGCGGCUCUCUGGGCCUUACCUGACGCUGGAGGAGCGAAAGCCGUGGGUAGCGAACAGGA